ACUUUUAUAGGAUAAAAGAAAUCCGUUGGUCUUAGGAACCAAAAACCC
rnacentral:tRNA from 1 species